rnacentral:lncRNA from 1 species
GAUUGUUUGUGAGUUUGGUGUUGGCUGUAAGGCAAUAUUGAUUAACUUAUUGGUUUCUUUAUCAUUGCACUUGUUGGAAAGGCACUUAGUUAACUUGUUGGUGUUGGCUGUAACUCAAUUUUUUCACGAGUGAUAUGAUAAUUGUAAGUUUUAAGUUCACUUUCUAAAAUUUCUUAAAUCAUACAUGUUCUCUAAGAAUUGUGAUUUUUGAUUUGAUCAUCC